CAGCCGCGGUAAUACGUAGGGUGCAAGCGUUAAUCGGAAUUACUGGGCGUAAAGCGUGCGCAGGCGGUUAUGUAAGACAGGUGUGAAAUCCCCGGGCUUAACCUGGGAAUGGCAUUUGUGACUGCAUAGCUAGAGUGUGUCAGAGGGGGGUAGAAUUCCACGUGUAGCAGUGAAAUGCGUAGAGAUGUGGAGGAAUACCGAUGGCGAAGGCAGCCCCCUGGGAUAACACUGACGCUCAUGCACGAAAGCGUGGGGAGCAAACAGGAUUAGAUACCCUGGUAGUCCACGCCCUAAACGAUGUCUACUAGUUGUCGGGUCUUAAUUGACUUGGUAACGCAGCUAACGCGUGAAGUAGACCGCCUGGGGAGUACGGUCGCAAGAUUAAAACUCAAAGGAAUUGACGGGGACCCGCACAAGCGGUGGAUGAUGUGGAUUAAUUCGAUGCAACGCGAAAAACCUUACCUACCCUUGACAUGUACAGAAUCCCGAAGAGAUUUGGGAGUGUUCGAAAGAAAACUGUAACACAGGUGCUGCAUGGCUGUCGUCAGCUCGUGUCGUGAGAUGUUGGGUUAAGUCCCGCAACGAGCGCAACCCUUGUCAUUAGUUGCUACGAAAGGGCACUCUAAUGAGACUGCCGGUGACAAACCGGAGGAAGGUGGGGAUGACGUCAAGUCCUCAUGGCCCUUAUGGGUAGGGCUUCACACGUCAUACAAUGGUACAUACAGAGGGCCGCCAACCCGCGAGGGGGAGCUAAUCCCAGAAAGUGUAUCGUAGUCCGGAUUGUAGUCUGCAACUCGACUACAUGAAGUUGGAAUCGCUAGUAAUCGCGGAUCAGCAUGUCGCGGUGAAUACGUUCCCGGGUCUUGUACACACCGCCCGUCACACCAUGGGAGCGGGUUUUACCAGAAGUAGGUAGCCUAACCGUAAGGA
rnacentral:rRNA from 1 species